GACGCAGGCGGCCCGGCAAGUCGGGUGUGAAAGCCCGGGGCUCAACCCCGGAAUUGACACUCGAAACUGCCGGUCUUGAGUACGGGAGAGGGAAGCGGAAUUCCUGGUGUAGAGGUGAAAUUCGUAGAUAUCAGGAGGAACACCCGUGGCGAAAGCGGCUUCCUGGCCCGAUACUGACGCUCAUGUCCGAAAGCGUGGGGAGCAAACA
rnacentral:rRNA from 1 species